CCCCUGGGAAGUCCUCGUGUUGCAUCCCU
rnacentral:rRNA from 26 species